rnacentral:lncRNA from 1 species
AAAACAGCAACCUAAGUAUUGGCAACAAUCAAAUUACCUUUCAUAGGAAACUAGUUAGAUCAUCUGUAGAGCAUCCAUCAUUCAAUGGACUUAUAUAUAUAUUUUUUUUUUCAGAUGGAAUUUCGCUCUUGUUGCCCACGCUGGAGUGCAAUGGUGCGAUCUCGGCUCACUGCAACCUCCACCUCCCAGGUUCAAGCAAUUCUCCUGCCUCAGCCUCCAGAGUAGCUGGGAUUACAAGCAUGCAUUACUACUGGCUAAUUUUUGUAUUUUUAGUAGAGAUGGGGUUUCACCAUGUUGGCCAGGCUGGUCUCCAACUUCUGACUUCAGGUGAUCCACCCGCCUCGGCCUCCCAAAGUGCUGGGAUUACAGAUGUGAGCCACUGCGCCCAGCUGCCAUUCAAUGGACUACUGUCCAUUUAUAAAAAGAAUGAAGAUCUCCAUGAGCAGAGCAGAUAUAAAUCUAAAAGACAUUAGGUCUUAUAAGGAGGAGAGAGAUGGCAUCAGCCCACGGAAAGCAAGAGCCUGAACAGGGUGGGGAAACCACCUAUUCAGGUGGCAGCACAUGAAGAUGGCCGCAGCCCAGGUGGAUGAUUAGAGUCCAUGGGGGUGAGGAGGACACCUGCAUGUCAUGGAGGAAGACUUCUUCCAAGUUGCUGGAGGAGAUGGCCACUAGUAGCCUUGAUUUUAUAUCAUCCCAGCACAAAGACACCAAAUGCAAGAGACAGCAUUUUCCACCAGCUCUAGCUGGAAAAUCCUUAGAGGAGGACUGUAGUUAUCAGCUCAACCAGGACAACUUGAUCGGAGAAGAGUGGUUAUCCAGAAAGGGAUGCUGAGCAGAUAAUCAACGUUCUCUGAAGUGGGUAUAAUGACUAUCUACAUGCAUAUGGGAAAGAGAGGCACAGAGAAAUGAAGUAACUUUUCCAAGGUCACACUGUUGGUUGGUGGGAGAGGUAAACCAAAAACCCAUGCCUCCUCACUCAGACCUCUGCUCUUGCCUGAAUAACCAUGUUAUUUCGCCACUUCAAAAUAAAAGUGAGACCUACC